AUAACAUUUACUUUAAUGGCCCAAGAAAUGCCCUGAGCUUUACAGCAGCAUAUUAACACUGCCUUCCUGCCUGAAACAGUAUAAGGCAAUGUGAACCACAUUUGUUGUUUAUGAUUACUUUGUGAUCCAAUUUGCAGGACUGGAGCAAUUAUUGGUACUGGGGAUUGAACUCAGAACCUUGUCCUUGCCAAGCAGGUGCUGUGCAGCUGAGCUACACCCCAGGCCUCUUAUGUAGCUAGUAGUGAACCCAGUUGACAGAGAAAAGACGUAAGAACGAAUUUAAACUGUGUAGAGAAUGUAUUUAGGAUUCAUUCACUUAGAAGUAAAUCACUAAAACCAGAAACUGCAAAUACCAGCGUGUGAAAUGAGAAGCAAAAAUGAGAAAAGCAGAUCCAGACCUUUGUAAGACUGAAGAUUUAGGAUCCCCAGGAGAGAAAAUGGACAUGGUAAUCCAGAACUGGCAGAGUUCACAUCAAAGAGGGAGAAGAGUAUCCAAUAAAUAUUUCUGCAAUGAAUAAAUGUACAAGUGGACAGGGUGAGGCAAACACUACUAUGAGCCAUGCUCUCUGGCUUUGCGGACAUGUAAACUCUCCAGUGAGCAGCAGUGGCAACCUGGCCAAGCCCAAUGUGAGUCAGGGAUGCACCCACCAGCUUUAAGGGCGACAGCUCGGUGGCGAGUACUGACGCCAUCAUUUUUGCCACAGAUAUUGUUCCAUUUCCUUCCUUUGAAGAGUGUGUGGCUCCUUGGUGACCAGACAUCCUUAUAUGCUCCUGUACUCGGACUUCGACUGGAGCCAGCUUUGGCUGCUGCUGGUUUAAUCCGCCCAGGGGCCGUGUUAAUACCCACAAAGGGGAACCUUACAAUCACUGUGCCACCAUCUGUUUCAAGAUGACAAAACUGUUUUGCUUUUUUUUUCCCUACUGCUCUGUGUCCUGUGCCAAAGAAGUACUAAAAUUAAUCCAGGAAAAAUGAAAGGAAUGAAAAGACAGGUCAACUGCAAUCAAAUUUACUGUUCAUUAAUUUCUUUUAAAAUAAUUCCACUAUCCAGUCAUAUUUUAUUUAGCUUAAAGGCAAUAAACAGGGAUAGAUUUUCUUUUGUUUUUCUUCUGGAACAGUUUAGAAAGAUCCAAGAAAAAAAAGUGAAGAAAAUCCAUUCAGAACAAGUUUCUUAGCCUGAAAAAUGUCCCUGUCCUGGGACACACGUGCUGACCUCCUCACAGCCCAGACAGAGAUGUGUCAGCCAGAAUCAAUAACUAGCGUCAACCCUGCGUUGGGUUCUGUGUUUAAAUCAUUAUUUAAAUUCUUUUGGGGGGAUAAUAUUACUCUUUGAUUCUUUUUAUCUGUUUUAUGGAACCAAAAGUAACUGAGCAACCAGAAAGGGAGAAAAGAUGCUUUAUCCAGCAGUUCUUGUUAAUAUAAGAACAAAAACUUCCCCCGCUAUUCCUAACCAGGAAAGGGAAACAUCAAGUGUGUUGGUUUCUUCUCGAAUUCUCUCUCUCAGACCCUUCUCAACAGCUUUGGAGAAGCUCAGCACCAGCAGUCCCACUCUGGCUCCCUGGAGCGGGACACCCUGUCUUUUCGUAGGCCCUUCCUUAUCCUGUUUGCUUCCACAGGAAGCUAUCCUCCUGGGACAUGGUGCUGGGAAAGCUAGGGCCCUUCGCUCCUAGGCAAUGAC